AUCAGCGGGGAUAGUACGUUGAAUACACCAGGUCCCGAUGGAUCACUGAAGCUAAGCAACGUUGCCCGUGGUUCACUGGUAUCCGGACGGGUGACCUUCUGGUUAAUCGCGUGUUGCUAGUU
rfam:Asian citrus Psyllid, Diaphorina citri - Florida Strain, whole genome shotgun sequence.